UCCAUAGAUUAGGGUCUAAUUUAUUUAUUUAAAUUGACUGAUUUUAUUAUGAACUGUAAAUCAGUAAAAUCAUUGAAAUUGUUGCGUUUAUAUUUUUGUUCAGUACAGUAGGCUAAUUCCCCAGCCAAGCAGAUACAACUGGUAGUCGUUUUUGUUGUGAAGUGCAUUAGCAAAAAGCUUGGUCCUUUCUUUAGAACAAAAUGCAAUUUACCACUUGACUGUAUUAUAUCACCCUGUCACAGGCCCUCCCAGUCAACACCACCUUGUAAGAUGGCCUGCUGCAGUUGUUCCGUUUGCAGCCGAACAUGCAUCAUAGAGAAGACCAGCAAGAGAGCCCUCAUCAGCGUCAUUCAGACAUGCCCUCGCUAUGGAGAGGACUGUAUAUAUUUUUGCAGAUGCCAGUCUUGGUUGUUUGAUAGGGAGACCAUAAUUGGAAACACAUAUAGAGCCAGCAUGUGGAGACUUGCACGAUGAUUUGAUGAAGUCCACGCUGACAGACGGGCUGACGGCUCUGAAUGGCGAGAGACCUGGCACUCGGCAUAAAUGUUUUACUUGUC